UCCUCCAAACCCUGUGGCCACAGCCAGGAGGUUCCUUUGCUGUGCUGGCCUGUGCUGUUGAGCGCUCGGUGAGACUUUGGCAUCGGGGGCAGCUCUGGUUCACCAGGCACUGGAGGAGAUCAACAGCAGAGGGCAGAGCCUCGGUGGAGUUCAGAGGGCAAAUUGGCCUUGGAGUCCCUGGACUUCCUUCAGGUGUGACCUCUGCUUCCCAGAACCAAGCAGGAAGACUGUCAAGUGUCUUAACAUCUUUAGUCACCUUAUUGUCAGAAUUAGAGCGGCCUGACAUCAGAUGAUGCAAAGCUGAGCUACAGUUUUCAGCCUUGGUAAUCAAAAGAAACCUGUGGAAGAUGCUCUGAGGUGAUGUACUAAGGAAGUCCAAGCCUGAUAACACG